rnacentral:rRNA from 1 species
CCUACGGGUGGCAGCAGUGAGGAAUAUUGGUCAAUGGGCGCGAGCCUGACCCAGCCAAGUAGCGUGAAGGAUGACUGCCCUACGGGUUGUAAACUUCUUUUAUAAAGGAAUAAAGUGAGGCACGUGUGCCUUUUUGUAUGUACUUUAUGAAUAAGGCUCGGCUAACUCCGUGCCAUCAGCCGCGGUAAUACGGAGGAUCCGAGCGUUAUCCGGAUUUGUUGGGUUUAAAGGGAGAGUAGAUGGGUUGUUAAGUCAGUUGUGAAAGUUUGCGGCUCAACCGUAAAAUUGCAAUUGAUACUGGCAGUCUUGAGUACAGUUGAGGUAGGCGGAAUUCGUGGUGUAGAGGUGAAAUGCUUAGAUAUAACGAAGAACUCCGAUGGCGAAGGCAGCUUACUAAACUGCCACUGACAUUGAGGCUCGAAAGUGGGGGGAUCAAACAGGAGUAGAUACACUAGUAGUC